CCCACCCCCACCCCGCAUUGUGCUCCCCAGGGCGACUCGGGUGGCGCCGACUCCUCCUGGCGCAACCACUCCCCUUUCGGGUUCUCCUCCCCCGCCGUCGCCUAAGGUAUCCCCAGGGAAAAGCCCUGCCGGAUCUCGCGGCGGCGGACAUGGGCUCUCAGCGCGACGCCAUCCCCUAAGCAGGGGAUUCGGGGGGUGACCGACGGCGCACGUCGCUGAGCGCUGAUGUGGUGGUGGACGGCGGUGGUCGUGGGUGUGUGUCAUCGCCUUGGUGCUCCUGUUGGUCCACACAUGGGUGGUGGCUGUGUCGGCGGAACGGUGUACGACAGCGGCGGCGGCUUCAUCGACGGACCGGGGGUGGAGAUGCGGCGACGUUGCUACUCGGUGGAGCUUCAACGCGUUGCGGCCGGUGCUCAGUCGUGAUGUGUCCUGGAUCUGCCAAGGUCUUCCCGUGGAUCUAUGAAUCGACGUUGGGCACUGUGGCUACUUGUGGCCUUCGGCCAAGGCUCGCUGGGUUCUUGCGGCCGCCAGAGCUGGCUAUGCACAGCCAUUGCUGGUCUUAUUGCUAGCUGACUAGGUGCGUCGAGGCUCCAGGCACAGUGUCGGAUCUGGUGUCUCUAGCCACCGAGAUGGCUGCUGCUCAAGUGCUCAACAGUGAGGUGGUGGCUCGCUGCUGGGAGCUAGGUUGUGCGCAGUAGGUGGAGGUUGGUGGAGGCUGGUCGGGAUGGUGCUCGUGGUGGACCAACUGAUGUGGUCAGAGGCAUAACAGACGAUGUCAGGCGAAAGUAUGUCUUCGGCUAUGGUCGGAGCCGGCAGCGGCGGCGUACGUGGGCGUUGCUACCUUCUUGAGGGCGCUGUUGUGGUGAAUUGCUCCUCUACCUUGUCGUGUCCCUGCUCCGAGGAAAACCUUAGGUCAGUGCUCUUUCGGAUCAGAUGAUGGCAACGGUCUGCGUCGUUUCCCUCUUGUGGGCAUCAUUUUGGGGUAGGGAUGAGUUAGGGACCGAUGUUGCUUUGACGGUGGUGGUGGUGCUGCCGGUUUGGGGUCGACGGUGGUUCUUCGGUGGUCUUCCUGGGAUCGGCGGCGGUGCCUUGGCAUCACGGGACGACCAUCUGCCCCCCCCCCCUCGUGAAGGUGUCUCACCCAUGUUGUUGGCUUGCUCAAGGCCCUCCCAUGGUUGCCGAUGUUGUGCGGUGAGCUGUGUGCUCUUGGUGUUGUCUCGGUUCUUCUUUGUUCAUUGAUGGCGCAAGAUGUCUCCUGAACUUGCUAAUCACCCCGAGACCAUGGCGGAGCUCCCAAUCAAGGUUUGUGUUUAGUUGCACUCAUUGAUUGUGGAUGCUCCCGAGUUGUGUCGUGUUUUCGGUAGGCACGUCCCUCGACGGCUCCCCACAUCUACAACUGUCUUUCAUGGCGAUGUCUUCUGUCUACUAGCUUGGUGUGCCCUGUUUGGGUGUUGCUUUUCAUUCCUACCUGUAUGAUUUUCGGCUUGAUUUCCUUUAUAAAACGGAUCAAUUUGUCUAGGUUUUCGAUCCAAUUUACCUUAUAAACCGAAUUAGCCAAUGCUUAAAGAAAAACUCUCUUGGCUUUACAGCUUUUUAAGCAAUAUAUUCAUGCCAGGACCCCCCCCCCCCCCUCUUUCUGCACAACACAUAAGAAAGCCCACGAACAUUACUCGGCGGACUUUAGUCAAUUUCAAAAUAUAAUAUAUUAUAAUAUAAUAGACUACGUCCGUUUUAUAACAUAAAAAUGUUUUUGACACUAAUGCAGUAGACGUUUGCAUAUGUAAGGUAGGAUUAGGAUUUGAAAGCACGUGCCCACUAGUACUACUUUUUGCUGAUUUGGUUGGGGCGAAGGCAUCACGGCCGAAAAGUCUACACACGAAGCGUCUUGUCAAAUCAGUCAGCCAGCCACGCACACGAUGAUGAUUGUGAGAGCGGAGAAAAUGGCAACCUUUCUGCAGGUAAUCCAUCGCAAAAGAAAAGGCUAUCUAUCUCACUCGACAGUGUCAUAUUUUGGCUGCACGUUUUCAGACCAAUAGCAUGCAUGUCACCCAAUAGUUUAGAUGAAAUUGCAAAUCCGAGUUUGGAGAGCCUUGUCAAGUAGUGUAAGGGCCUCCUUUGGUUUACAUGAAUUCUUUAUGAAUUUUGUAGCAAUUUUAUUUACCAAUUUUUUUACAUUUUAAAUAAUAACUUAGAUGCAAUGAAAGAAAAAAAAUUAUAUACCCUACACAUCAAAUGUCAUCUCUUGAGAAACACCUUGCACAACAGUACGACGAGGAUGCCGCACGGGACCACUCUCACAAUGACAGAGAGCAAUUUUCUUCUCAAAGUGAUGGAGUAAUAAUCAAACCACCGAAGCUUCCAUUCACCAUGACAGAAAUGGCAACAAAAAUUAUCUACCUUGGGUUAUAGCAUCUAUGACCGGACCCAUCAAACCCGUCUCAACGGAGCCCGCUCGAUCACUGACCGGUCACGAAAUUGCGACCCAAUUGAACGCCUCAAACAUACCUCAAACGUCCGUACUGACCGGUAUCACUCAUAUCCAGUUCAAAUAUGAGAUGGAUAUGGGGCGUCCCGACAUGACCGUCACGUCGGACUCGACAGGCUGACCCCAUCGUAGAUUGCACCCAAUUGAUCCGGAAGAACUGCCGCAUCCAUUUACUCUUUCUCUCCUCUUCCUCUAUCUUGUGGUCCGUCUUGUAGCUCCACAGUCACACGCGCUCCGCCGUCGUUCCUAGCCUUCGCUUCACUAGCUCUGACAAAGCACUCUUUUGUCCCGUCCUCGCCGCGGGGGACGUCAUAGUCGGCCCAGAAGACGUCGAGGGGAAAGUGAUGGAUUCUGAUGCUUCGUCCGGCGAGGAGUAUGGACCGAGUUUGAUCAAAUGAUGGAAAGGUCGGUUCUUUGAUUCGUCAGAUUCAAACGAAGAAGUGGACAUGAUCAUGCCUAUGAGCACAUAAGAGGAAAACAACCGGCAAAUGGAGCAUAUCCUCAAUUUCAAGGGCCCGAUCAAAGGGAUAAGAGUGAUCAAUCGGGAUAGGGUAUCCUAAGCAAAGCUACUGCAGAAGGACUAUUUUGAGACGAA